GCCAUUUUAGUAAAAUUUUAUUAUGUUGUUUUGAUGAGGCAAAGUUAUUUGUGGUA
rnacentral:tRNA from 1 species